CUACGGGUGGCUCCAGUGGGGAAUAUUGCACAAUGGGCGCAAGCCUGAUGCAGCCAUGCCGCGUGUAUGAAGAAGGCCUUCGGGUUGUAAAGUACUUUCAGCGGGGAGGAAGGGAGUAAAGUUAAUACCUUUGCUCAUUGACGUUACCCGCAGAAGAAGCACCGGCUAACUCCGUGCCAGCAGCCGCGGUAAUACGGAGGGUGCAAGCGUUAAUCGGAAUUACUGGGCGUAAAGCGCACGCAGGCGGUUUGUUAAGUCAGAUGUGAAAUCCCCGGGCUCAACCUGGGAGCUGCAUCUGAUACUGGCAAGCUUGAGUCUCGUAGAGGGGGGUAGAAUUCCAGGUGUAGCGGUGAAAUGCGUAGAGAUCUGGAGGAAUACCGGUGGCGAAGGCGGCCCCCUGGACGAAGACUGACGCUCAGGUGCGAAGGCGUGGGGAGCAAACAGGAUUAGAUACCCCCGUAGUC
rnacentral:rRNA from 1 species